rnacentral:tRNA from 1 species
GGGGAGGUGCCGGAGUUGGUCGAACGGGACCGCCUGCUAAGUGGUUGUAGGGCCUUUAAAGCUCUACCCAGGGUUCGAAUCCCUGCCUCCCCGCCU